rnacentral:rRNA from 1 species
CCUUGACAUGCAGAGAACUUUCCAGAGAUGGAUUGGUGCCUUCGGGAACUCUGACACAGGUGCUGCAUGGCUAUCGUCAGCUCGUGUCGUGAGAUGUUGGGUUAAGUCCCGUAACGAGCGCAACCCUUGUCCUUAGUUACCAGCACGUUAUGGUGGGCACUCUAAGGAGACUGCCGGUGACAAACCGGAGGAAGGUGGGGAUGACGUCAAGUCAUCAUGGCCCUUACGGCCUGGGCUACACACGUGCUACAAUGGUCGGUACAAAGGGUUGCCAAGCCGCGAGGUGGAGCUAAUCCCAUAAAACCGAUCGUAGUCCGGAUCGCAGUCUGCAACUCGACUGCGUGAAGUCGGAAUCGCUAGUAAUCGUGAAUCAGAAUGUCACGGUGAAUACGUUCCCGGGCCUU